UGCAUACUCCCUCUGUUCCGAAUUACUUGUCGCAGGUAUGAAUGUAUCUAGAUGUAUUUUAGUUCUACAUACAUCCAUUUCUGCGACGAGUAAUUUGGAACGGAGGGAGUAUGUU
rnacentral:pre_miRNA from 1 species